rnacentral:lncRNA from 1 species
CAGUGUUCUCCUUUUUUUACUAAGGUAAGGUGGGUGUUUUGAAAAAAACACUUGCAACCGGGGGAUUUUUUUUAAUAUUUUCAACCGGGUUUAUUUUUUGUUUACUGUGGGUUGGGGUCACAAACAGAAGGAUAAGUAUUGUAUUCACAUUUAAUGGAAUUGAACCAUUCUUCUGCUCUCACUGCUAGCCUUUCAUUAAAUGAUUUGACAAAAUUAUUUGUGCACUCGGAUAGCAGAUCAUAAUGGCUUUUGCAGGACUCUAUCCUGCGAAUGCAUGGCCUAUCGAACCAAGUUUCUGUCCUGUUCCUCGCUUUAAAAUAGUGCUGUCUUUUUGGCACACAGAACAGUAAU